rnacentral:rRNA from 1 species
GACGAACGCUGGCGGCGUGCCUAACACAUGCAAGUCGAGCGAUGAAACCCUUCGGGGUGGAUUAGCGGCGGACGGGUGAGCAACACGUGGGUAACCUGCCUCAAAGAGGGGGAUAGCCUCCCGAAAGGGAGAUUAAUACCGCAUAACAUUAGUUUUUCGCAUGAAGAACUAAUUAAAGGAGUAAUCCGCUUUGAGAUGGACCCGCGGCGCAUUAGCUAGUUGGUGAGGUAAAGGCUCACCAAGGCGACGAUGCGUAGCCGACCUGAGAGGGUGAUCGGCCACAUUGGAACUGAGACACGGUCCAGACUCCUACGGGAGGCAGCAGUGGGGAAUAUUGCACAAUGGGCGAAAGCCUGACGCAGCAACGCCGCGUGAGUGAUGAAGGCCUUCGGGUUGUAAAGCUCUGUCUUUUGGGACGAUAAUGACGGUACCAAAGGAGGAAGCCACGGCUAACUACGUGCCAGCAGCCGCCGUAACAC